rnacentral:lncRNA from 1 species
AAGUUUUUACUUUGUUUUGAAGAUUUUUGAGUUUUAAGCAAGUUUUGGAGCUUUGAGGUUCAAGAACCCAAAAAUCUCCCACCUCCGAGUUUAGGACGUCUCUCUCUCGAUCUUCAAGAGGUAAGAGCCGAUCUUAAGCUCAUUUCAUGUUUAAAGUAAGUUUUAUGCAAGAUCCAUGGGGUAGAAUGCAUGUUUAGCUCAUGGUUAGGUUUAUGGGUUUUAUUUGUGUUUUUGGACAAUGUGAG